AUGAACGCUGGCGGCGUGCUUAACACAUGCAAGUCGAACGGAGUUCUGAUGUGUGAAGCGAAGUAGCUUGCUAUGGAGUGGAACUUUUCAGAACUUAGUGGCGGACGGGUGAGUAACGCGUGGGUAACCUGCCGUAUGCAGGGGGACAACAGCUGGAAACGGCUGCUAAUACCUCAUAUUGAGUUUUAAUCGCAUGAUUUAAACUUGAAAGAUUUAUCGCUUAUGGAUGGACUCGCGUCUGAUUAGCUAGUUGGUGAGGUAACGGCCCACCAAGGCGACGAUCAGUAGCCGGACUGAGAGGUUGACCGGCCACAUUGGGACUGAGAUACGGCCCAGACUCCUACGGGAGGCAGCAGUGGGGAAUAUUGGGCAAUGGGCGCAAGCCUGACCCAGCAACGCCGCGUGAAGGAAGAAGGCUUUCGGGUUGUAAACUUCUUUUGUCGAGGAAGAGUAGAAGACUGUACUCGGCGAAUAAGCCACGGCUAACUACGUG
rnacentral:rRNA from 1 species